rnacentral:rRNA from 1 species
GACGAACGCUGGCGGCGUGCCUAAUACAUGCAAGUAGAACGCUGAAGAGAGGAGCUUACUCUUCUUGGAUGAGUUGCGAACGGGUGAGUAACGCGUAGGUAACCUGCCUUGUAGCGGGGGAUAACUAUUGGAAACGAUAGCUAAUACCGCAUAACAAUGGAUGACACAUGUCAUUUAUUUGAAAGGGGCAAUUGCUCCACUACAAGAUGGACCUGCGUUGUAUUAGCUAGUAGGUGAGGUAAUGGCUCACCUAGGCGACGAUACAUAGCCGACCUGAGAGGGUGAUCGGCCACACUGGGACGGAGACACGGCCCAGACUCCUACGGGAGGCAGCAGUAGGGAAUCGUCGGCAAUGGGGGCAACCCUGACCGAGCAACGCCGCGUGAGUGAAGAAGGGUUUCGGAUCGUAAAGCUCUGUUGUAAGUCAAGAACGGGUGUGAGAGUGGAAAGUUCACACUGUGACGGUAGCUUACCAGAAAGGGACGGCUAACUACGUG